AAUAAGUGCAGUCAUAGAUAUCCGUGUUCAACGUUUGACCGUCCGUCUUAUUUAAAAAAUUUAUGAAAAAUUUAAAAAUAUUUAGUCACAUAUAAAGUACUAUUCAUGUUUUAUCAUCUAAUAGUAAUAAAAAUACUAAUCAUAAAAUAUUUUCAAAUAAAACGAACGGUCAAACGUUAAACGUGAAUAGUGUAAAACUACACUUAUU
rnacentral:pre_miRNA from 1 species